ACAGUUACGCGUUCUGAUUGGUCUAGAGUCUACAGUGACUGUAGACUCUAGACCAACAGAACGCGUAACUGUCUACAGUCGUUGCGCUACUGUAGACUCGACCCCUGCGAAUUUCCCAAAUGUGGAAAUCUCGAUUGCAUAAUUUCUGUAGUGGGGGACUGCGUUCGCGCUCUCCCCUG
rnacentral:snRNA from 1 species